rnacentral:lncRNA from 10 species
GAGAGAGCCAGUGUUAUGACUUCUGGACUGGGAGUAUCACAGAAGUCUUCUAGACAGAGGUAACUUGAGUGUUAAGGAGUGGCAGGAGGUCUUGCUCACUGCAGUAAGAACCUACAGCAUCAUCCAACGAUUCAUAUAGGUGAGCGUCCCAGAGGAAAGUUAAUAAUAAGAAAGCCUGUAGCACAGCUGCAACACACAUGAAAUGCUUUAUGGAGACUUGACUCAAGGCUAAGCAUGGCAUGAAGCGAUUCAAGACAGAGAGUUGUGUGCAG